CCUGAUAGCUCAGUCAGUAAAGAAUCUGCCUGCAGAGCAGGAGACCCAGGUUCAAUCCCUGGGUCAGGA
rnacentral:tRNA from 1 species